UACGGAGGGAGCUAGCGUUGUUCGGAAUUACUGGGCGUAAAGCGCGCGUAGGCGGCUUUGUAAGUUAGAGGUGAAAGCCCGGGGCUCAACUCCGGAACUGCCUUUAAGACUGCAUCGCUUGAAUCCGGGAGAGGUGAGUGGAAUUCCGAGUGUAGAGGUGAAAUUCGUAGAUAUUGGGAAGAACACCAGUGGCGAAGGCGGCUCACUGGACCCGGUAUGACGCUGAGGUGCGAAAGCGUGGGGAGCAAACAGG
rnacentral:rRNA from 1 species